rnacentral:lncRNA from 1 species
GGAUUUUCUUCAGGGUUUAGGCUUCCUUCCGGGCUCAGCUCCACGCCUCCCCUCCCUGCUGCCCAGCCUUCUCAGUCCUUGGACCCCAUGGACCCCACCUCUGCCUGCAGGCACUGCUGGGGAUGCUACUGUGAGCACAGCUUUGGAGCUGUCCAGAUAGGCACCCAACCAGCUCAACAUGAAGGAGCCAGAAAAAUGGAAUCUUGAAAGGUGACAAUGUCUUUGCUGUGGAUUAUGUGGAGGGACUAGACCCCCAGGGCCUAGGCCAGCUGUGGAGCAGGAGGCAACCAUGGGGCUAUGCCCUUGAGGCCCCUGGGACUCCCCCUCAGUCUCCCAGAACACUCCUACCCUGGUCCUCUCUAACUCCAGCCUAGC